UGACUGGGAGACUGGGAGUUCAAUUGCUUGUUAUGAUGUGUGCUGACCACCAGGGGGCAGCGUGGAACUAAGGGAGGCCCCAGUCAGCAGCUGGGGAAGGGAGG